AUACGUAGGGGGCUAGCGUUAUCCGGAAUUACUGGGCGUAAAGGGUGCGUAGGUGGUUUCUUAAGUCAGAGGUGAAAGGCUACGGCUCAACCGUAGUAAGCUCUUGAAACUGGGAAACUUGAGUGCAGGAGAGGAAAGUGGAAUUCCUAGUGUAGCGGCGAAAUGCGUAGAUAUUAGGAGGAACACCAGUAGCGAAGGCGCUUCUCUGGACUGUAACUGACGCUGAGGCUCGAAAGCGUGGGGAGC
rnacentral:rRNA from 1 species